rnacentral:rRNA from 2 species
UGGGGUGACUGCGUACCUUUUGUAUAAUGGGUCAGCGACUUAUAUUCUGUAGCAAGGUUAACCGAAUAGGGGAGCCGGAGGGAAACCGAGUCUUAACCGGGCGUUAAGUUGCAGGGUAUAGACCCGAAACCCGGUGAUCUAGCCAUGGGCAGGUUGAAGGUUGGGUAACACUAACUGGAGGACCGAACCGACUAAUGUUGAAAAAUUAGCGGAUGACCUGUGGCUGGGGGUGAAAGGCCAAUCAAACCGGGAGAUAGCUGGUUCUCCCCGAAAGCUAUUUAGGUAGCGCCUCGUGAAUUCAUCUCCGGGGGUAGAGCACUGUUUCGGCUAGGGGGCCAUCCCGGCUUACCAACCCGAUGCAAACUGCGAAUACCGGAGAAUGUUAUCACGGGAGACACACGGCGGGUGCUAACGUCCGUCGUGAAGAGGGAAACAACCCAGACCGCCAGCUAAGGUCCCAAAGUCAUGGUUAAGUGGGAAACGAUGUGGGAAGGCCCAGACAGCCAGGAUGUUGGCUUAGAAGCAGCCAUCAUUUAAAGAAAGCGUAAUAGCUCACUGGUCGAGUCGGCCUGCGCGGAAGAUGUAACGGGGCUAAACCAUGCACCGAAGCUGCGGCAGCGACGCUUAUGCGUUGUUGGGUAGGGGAGCGUUCUGUAAGCCUGUGAAGGUGGCCUGUGAGGGUUGCUGGAGGUAUCAGAAGUGCGAAUGCUGACAUAAGUAACGAUAAAGCGGGUGAAAAGCCCGCUCGCCGGAAGACCAAGGGUUCCUGUCCAACGUUAAUCGGGGCAGGGUGAGUCGACCCCUAAGGCGAGGCCGAAAGGCGUAGUCGAUGGGAAACGGGUUAAUAUUCCCGUACUUGGUGUUACUGCGAAGGGGGGACGGAGAAGGCUAUGUUGGCCGGGCGACGGUUGUCCCGGUUUAAGCGUGUAGGUGUGUGUUCCAGGUAAAUCCGGUUCACUUUAACACUGAGGCGUGAUGACGAGGCACUACGGUGCUGAAGUAACAAAUGCCCUGCUUCCAGGAAAAGCCUCUAAGCAUCAGGUAACAUCAAAUCGUACCCCAAACCGACACAGGUGGUCAGGUAGAGAAUACCAAGGCGCUUGAGAGAACUCGGGUGAAGGAACUAGGCAAAAUGGUGCCGUAACUUCGGGAGAAGGCACGCUGACAC